AUUCAGCUCAAKAUGCGCGGUAAAUUCCAUCUAAAGCUAAAUAUGGCUCGAGAGACCGAUAGCGAACAAGUACCGUGAGGGAAAGAUGAAAAGCACUUUGGAAAGAGAGUUAAACAGUACGUGAAAUUGUUAAAAGGGAAACGAUUGAAGUCAGUCGUGUUUAUUGGAUUCAGCCGGUCUUCGGUGUACUUCCUUUAAACGGGUCAACAUCAGUUUUGUCCGGUGGAUAAAGGCAGUAGGAAGAUGGCUCCCUCGGGAGUGGAAUAGCCUAUUGUCACAUACACUGGAGGAGACNGAGGACCGCG
rnacentral:rRNA from 1 species